UACGUAGGGGGCAAGCGUUGUCCGGAAUUAUUGGGCGUAAAGAGCGCGUAGGCGGUCCGAUAAGUCGGCUGUGAAAGUCAGGGGCUCAACCCUUGAAAGCCGGCCGAUACUGUCGGACUAGAGUCCGGAAGAGGCAAGUGGAAUUCCCGGUGUAGCGGUGAAAUGCGCAGAUAUCAGGAAGAACACCCGUGGCGAAGGCGGCUCUCUGGGACGGUACUGACGCUGAGACGCGAAAGCGUGGGGAGCGAACAGG
rnacentral:rRNA from 1 species